GAUGAACGCUGGCGGCGUGCCUAAUACAUGCAAGUCGAGCGAACAGACGAGGAGCUUGCUCCUCUGACGUUAGCGGCGGACGGGUGAGUAACACGUGGAUAACCUACCUAUCAGACUGGGAUAACUUCGGGAAACCGGAGCUAAUACCGGAUAAUAUAUUGAACCGCAUGGUUCAAUAGUGAAUGACGGUUUUGCUGUCACUUAUAGAUGGAUCCGCGCCGCAUUAGCUAGUUGGUAAGGUAACGGCUUACCAAGGCGACGAUGCGUAGCCGACCUGAGAGGGUGAUCGGCCACACUGGAACUGAGACACGGUCCAGACUCCUACGGGAGGCAGCAGUAGGGAAUCUUCCGCAAUGGGCGAAAGCCUGACGGAGCAACGCCGCGUGAGUGAUGAAGGUCUUCGGAUCGUAAAACUCUGUUAUUAGGGAAGAACAAAUGUGUAAGUAACUAUGCACGUCUUGACGGUACCUAAUCAGAAAGCCACGGCUAACUACGUG
rnacentral:rRNA from 1 species